UUUGGCCCCCAGGGACUUCCACCCAUCUGGCCUUCUUGGGCCAUAGACUCAUGUGACCUGCUAAGCCCAGGUGCGCACGUGGAAGACUGUCACAGCACCUGCUCAUUGGGCUUUCUGUUCCUAUCCUGGCAUCCUAGGAUAGUGAAUUCUUACCAUUCUAUGUUGCCUGGGCAUCUGUUUUGAAUAGAACUUUAACUUUCUCAUACCAGAAGCAGGGCUCAGUCACCCUUAACACAGUGUCCAACGCUACACCACACCCAAAUGGCUCAAGCUGGUAGCCAGAAAUAUGAACUUGGAGACAUCUCUCCUGCUUCUUGGACUGGAUUCCCCACUUUCCUGACACUUCCUUUAAAGGACCAUGCAGGCGUCUUCCCGCAAACUUAAAGUGACCGGCACUCUGUUCCCCUAUAGGUACUGCAAGCUCCACGUGCUCUCCUCUCUCCUGACUCUUCAUUCCUGCCUUGUGCUACCCAGGAUGGACGGCUGCCCUCCACCUCACUGCACCUGCCCAGAUCUGCACCCACCCAGACCCUGCGCCAGAGAUCUCUCCGGAGCAUUCAAGUGCACGGGCAGUUCCCGACUUCGUGUUUUCUAUGGCAGAGAGCUGUUCGAGCUCCUCUGGGAAGAGGGGAGUAAAAGAAAAAGUUGACAAUCCCAUGUCGGUCCUCCAAUUUGGGGGAAAAUUGUUCUACUCCGGAAAGCAACGCACUCAAAAAC